rnacentral:tRNA from 1 species
CGUCCGUCGGCGCGGUGUGCGACCUCGAUCUCGUGGUGAUCGGCGGGGGAGUCGCCCGCGCCGGCGCCCUGCUGUUCGAUCCGCUGCGUGCGGC